rnacentral:rRNA from 1 species
CUACGGGAGGCUCCAGUGGGGAAUAUUGGACAAUGGGGGAAACCCUGAUCCAGCAAUGCCGCGUGUGUGAAGAAGGCCUGCGGGUUGUAAAGCACUUUCGGUUGGGAGGACUGCUUCUAGCACUAAUAUUGUUGGAAGUUGACGUUACCUUCAGAAGAAGCACCGGCUAACUCCGUGCCAGCAGCCUCGGUAAUACGGAGGGUGCAAGCGUUAAUCGGAAUUACUGGGCGUAAAGCGCGCGUAGGCGGCUAGAUCAGUCGGGUGUGAAAGCCCCGGGCUUAACCUGGGAACUGCAUCCGAUACUGUCUAGCUUGAGUACAGGAGAGGGGAGUGGAAUUCCACAUGUAGCGGUGAAAUGCGUAGAUAUGUGGAGGAACACCAAUGGCGAAGGCAGCUCUCUGGCCUGAUACUGACGCUGAGGUGCGAAAGCGUGGGGAGCAAACAGGAUUAGAUACCCCGGUAGUC